AUAUUUCGGAACUGAGUCUAGUUCCUUCGAUAUCAGUAUAAUCUAAUAAUCAUAAAUAAUAGCCACUACUAUGUGAAUCAUUUCAUGAUUAUUAGAUUAUACUGAUAUCGAAGGAACUAGACUCAGUUCCGAAAUAU